AUUGAACGCUGGCGGCAUGCCUUACACAUGCAAGUCGAACGGCAGCACGGGGCAACCUGGUGGCGAGUGGCGAACGGGUGAGUAAUACAUCGGAACGUACCCAGUAAUGGGGGAUAACUAUCCGAAAGGAUAGCUAAUACCGCAUACGCCCUACGGGGGAAAGAGGGGGAUCGCAAGACCUCUUGUUAUUGGAGCGGCCGAUGGCUGAUUAGCUAGUUGGUAGGGUAAAGGCCUACCAAGGCAACGAUCAGUAGCGGGUCUUAGAGGACGAUCCGCCACACAGGAACUGAGACACGGUCCCGACUCCUACGGGAGGCAGCAGUGGUGAAUCGUGGACAAUGGGCCCAAGCCUGAUCCAGCAAUGCCGCGUGCGUGAAGAAGGCCUUCGGGUUGUAAAGCGCUUUUGUCAGGGAGCAAAUCCUUGUGGCUAAUACCCACCGGGGAUGAGAGUACCUGAAGAAUAAGGACCGGCUAACUACGUGCCAGCCGCCGCAGUAAUAC
rnacentral:rRNA from 1 species